GUAGCUUUUUGCUCUGUCAGGCUCCGCCCAGCUAGUGAUUGCCCACGUUCAUUUUCACUCGUCUACCACUUGUCUACCGUCACGCGACUUAGCAAGGCAGGCUCUCCUUUUUCUUAGUCUCUUCCUUCUUUCUUUCUUUGUUCCUCCAAUUAGUCCCGUAUUUUAUCUUAUUGAACUAUGACAAAGAACAGAAAAAGGAGAGGCUGCGAAGGAGGCUAGUCCUGAAUACGGACCGUAAAUAACGGGCCUGUUUCAGCCUGUACCACCCACAUCCUGCUUACAGCCUGUGCAGCCAGUGUAUGCGCAUGCGCUGAGGGAAAGUUGCUUAGCUACGAAAUCCAUCAAGAGACUGAAAAGGUGCUUCAGUUUGAUCUUCUCGUUCAGUUGCAGCUAGGAUGGAUGGAGUAAUUAUAUUAUUUAUGGAACUGACUGCCAAGGCCAGCUAGCAAGAAAAAGAGAGAGACUGCUAGAUGUCUCUGCAAUUCUUCUCUCACUGUCUCUAGGAGUCCAGCUCUAUAGGCUACAAGAUCUGGUUGCCUCUGACGCAGGUUGUUGACUUCUUCUACAAUGUUAUAAGAAUACACAUCUAAAAAGGAGGAUAUGCACCUCUACACGACUACUAAAUAGAUGUACCUGUGUCUAUGUCAUCAUUACUGUACUGAUGAGCUCGAGAUUGAGGUUCCUUGUCACACUACUUGAGAAUAUGUACAUAUAUAAAUUGGAAUGCUCAUGCCAUCAAUGAUUUCUACUCAUCAUGACCAGAAGGUAUUUUACAAUAAUAAUUAUUGUCGUUUACAUGCUUUAGGUUAAGUUACUGGCUGUGGACAUGGCUGGUCUGUGACAGUACAAACAGUCAAACAAAAAAUUUAUAAUUGACAGAGGACAUGGCUGGUCUGUGGACAGUACGAACAGUCGAACAACACUUGUAAGAAACAUUUUCUUUGCAACGAUAUUCACAUGUCUUCUUUAUACACACAGUGACAGAGGACAUGGCUGGUAGUACAAACAGUCGAGCAAACAAUUUAUAAUGUGACACACUCGAGCAGCACAAGCACUAGAAGAAACAUUCUUAUUUAGUGUUGUAAACUGUCUAACUGUCUGGCUAUGUUUGUUUACAACACUUUGUUGAAUUAUUCAUGCCAAACUCAGCUUUUAAUUAA